AUAAUCUCUAUCAAGUGUUGCUUACUAACUAGCACGUGCACGUGUGCUCAGCCGCUCAGUUGUGUCCGACUCUUUGCAACGCCAAGGACAGUAGCCCUCUAGGCUCCUCUGUCCGUGGAAUUUUCCAGGGAAGAAUACUGGAGUGGUUGCUAUUUCCUACUCCAGGGAAUCUUCUCGACCUACAGAUUGAAUCCGCAUCUCUGGCAUCUCCGGCAUUGGCAGGAGGAUUUUUUUUCCCCAUCACUGCGCCACCUGGGACUAGCACUUAACCAAAAUACUAACUAUUAUUACGUGUAUUGUUAUCUCUUUUUUCAUCCUCUAGUCCCUGAAGUUCUGAUUGUUUUUAUAUAGACACUUAGCCCCUUUCUGGGUUCUCUUUUUUCCUUAGGAAACCUGGGCCUGAGCCCAUUUUACAGGAGCAUCUCCACCACAUUGGAUUCUCUGCCUUCUGGAACGCAUAGUAGGUGGCUAAAUGGAGUCGGUCCCAGGAGAGCUCAGCUGCGACUCCAGGUUGUCAGUGGGGCAUCGACAUUAAUACAGGAUGUCGAGGCCGCUACUGAUUGAGAACAGCAGCUUUGAAGUCAGACGACAGGUUCCAGGCCUGACUCUGAUCUCUGACCAUCUACAAGGCCUUAGACAACAGAGUCCCUAGUCUAUGCCUUAGUCUGCUCGCCUGCAGCCAGGGCUGCGAUGGCGCUCAGCCGGUGCCCCACCAGGUGGCGCUCUUCCCCGCCUCUGCUCUGUGCCUCCGGGGGACCCCAAACCCCCUUGGGAAGCACCCAGAGGUCGGUUGGCACAUCCGCCUCCCAGGAGGGCACACCUCAGGUCAGACUUGUGCAAAUGCAGCUCUCAGAAGCUGCUGGGCCCCAAGAGUCCUGCCCACGGAGUGAGUGUGCGAUUGUCGCAUAUAAUUCUUCCUGACCUGGCAGGAAUCUCACUUUCACCUCCUCUUCUUCCUGUUGAAAUCCCCUCAAGCUGAGCUGAUGAGUGCAGAUUACUCGCUCCCCAUUUCCCGAGCACGUCCAGGCAGUUCCCUACCUUUGUGCCUCUGCCGAUCUCUGGAACGAGGUGACGGUUGCCCGAGGCCCUGGCCUGCCGGGGAGCUCUGCAGCCCUCGAGGGCUGACCUCUGCCCGCUGGGCCUGCAGGGGCUCAGGGACAAACCCAGGCUCUGUUCUUCCUCCGCACCCACGGACAUGUGAAGCAGGCUUCGCGCACUGGUCUCCACGAAACUUCAUCGCAGCCACUGUGACCUUGAGUCUUCCUGGAGGACAGGCAAGCUGGCUUUUACAAAAUGUUUUGUUUUUAUUGGUUUUUAAUGCUAGCCCUGAAAAAGAAUGCCUUGGUUUUGGCCCAGGGUGCUGUCAAAACAAAAGCCUUCCCGUAUCCAGGAUAGAAGCAGGUUUCCGGAGGGCCCAAGCGUGUUGCCACGGUUGA
rnacentral:lncRNA from 1 species